AGAGAUGCUCUAAUUUUAUAUUGGCUCCACCUAUCCAUCAAUAAACAUACAGCUCUUGACAAAAAAAA
rnacentral:sRNA from 1 species